ACACGUAGGGGCCUGACGUUGUUCGGAAUCAUUGGGCGUAAAGGGCGCGCAGGCGGCCGUCCAAGUCCGGUGUUAAAUGGUCGGGCUCAACCCGAUCAUGCGCUGGAAACUGGGCGGCUUGAGUCCCGUAGGGGAUGCCGGAAUUCCAGGUGUAGGGGGGAAAUCUGUAGAUAUCUGGAAGAACACCGAUGGCGUAGGCAGGCAUCUGGCCGGAGACUGACGCUGAGGCGCGAAGGCGCGGGGAGCGAACAGGUUUAGAUACCCUGGUAGUCCGCGCAGUAAACGAUGCGCACCAGGUGUCGGGCGGCAGCGCCCGGUACCGGAGCUAACGCGAUGAGUGCGCCGCCUGGGGAGUAUGCCCGCAAGGGUGAAACUCAAAGGAAUUGGCGGGG
rnacentral:rRNA from 1 species